AUGAUGAUUUAGAUAAAUUUCUGUUUAUGGUUUAAACUGAUAAAUCAUGAAGAUAAUAUUCUAGGGCGGUCUGAAUCU
rnacentral:snoRNA from 1 species